CACGUAGGGCGCAAGCGUUGUCCGGAAUUAUUGGGCGUAAAGAGCUCGUAGGCGGUUCGGUAAGUCAGGUGUGAAAUCUCCACGCUCAACGUGGAGGGGCCACCUGAUACUGCCGUGACUCGAGUCCGGUAGGGGAGUGUGGAAUUCCCGGUGUAGCGGUGAAAUGCGCAGAUAUCGGGAGGAACACCGGUGGCGAAGGCGGUUCUCUGGGCCUUACCUGACGCUGAGGAGCGAAAGCGUGGGGAGCGAACAGG
rnacentral:rRNA from 1 species